rnacentral:rRNA from 1 species
GACGAACGCUGGCGGCGUGCCUAAUACAUGCAAGUUGAGCGCUGAAGGUUGGUACUUGUACCAACUGGAUGAGCAGCGAACGGGUGAGUAACGCGUGGGGAAUCUGCCUUUGAGCGGGGGACAACAUUUGGAAACGAAUGCUAAUACCGCAUAAAAACUUUAAACACAAGUUUUAAGUUUGAAAGAUGCAAUUGCAUCACUCAAAGAUGAUCCCGCGUUGUAUUAGCUAGUUGGUGAGGUAAAGGCUCACCAAGGCGAUGAUACAUAGCCGACCUGAGAGGGUGAUCGGCCACAUUGGGACUGAGACACGGCCCAAACUCCUACGGGAGGCAGCAGUAGGGAAUCUUCGGCAAUGGACGAAAGUCUGACUGAGCAACGCCGCGUGAGUGAAGAAGGUUUUCGGAUCGUAAAACUCUGUUGGUAGUGAAGAACGUUGGUGAGAGUGGAAAGCUCAUCAAGUGACGGUAACUACCCAGAAAGGGACGGCUAACUACGUG